CGGCGGACGGGUGAGUAAUGUCUGGGAAACUGCCCGAUGGAGGGGGAUAACUACUGGAAACGGUAGCUAAUACCGCAUAACGUCGCAAGACCAAAGAGGGGGACCUUAGGGCCUCUUGCCAUCGGAUGUGCCCAGAUGGGAUUAGCUAGUAGGUGGGGUAACGGCUUACCUAGGCGACGAUCCCUAGCUGGUCUGAGAGGAUGAUCAGCCACACUGGGACUGAGACACGGUCCAG
rnacentral:rRNA from 1 species